rnacentral:tRNA from 1 species
GGGCAGGUGGCUCAGUGGUAGAGCACUUGCCUUGCAUGCAUGAGGCCCUGGUUCGAUUCCUCACCACCACA